UCCGGAGUAGCUCAAUGGCAGAGCGGGUGGCUGUUAACCACUAGGUUGGGGGUUCGAGCCCCUCCUCCGGAGCAA
rnacentral:tRNA from 1 species